UCUGGACUGAAGUGUGUCUACAGACCACAGUCUCAACCAGCAACAAUGGCUUUUCUGAUUGCAGUACUCUUAAUAAGCAUGUGUCUAAGAGGUGUUCAGUCCCAGAUUGUGUUGACUGAGUCUGAACCUGCAGUUGUCCAGCCUGGAGGAUCUCACAGACUGACCUGUACAGCCUCAGGAUUCACAUUCAGCAGCUAUGAGAUGCACUGGGUCAGACAGGCUUCUGGGAAGGGGCUGGAGUGGGUGGCCUUUAUUAGCAGCGGUGGAGGCACCACAAACUAUCCGGACUCUGUCAAGGGAAGAUUCACCAUCUCCAGAGACAAUUCCAAGAAUCAGCUGUACUUACAGAUGAGCAGCCUGAAGACUGAAGACACUGCUGUGUAUUACUGCGCUAAAGACCCACAGUGAGAGAAGUGAAGCCUGAGCCCUGACAA